GACGAACGCUGGCGGCGUGCUUAACACAUGCAAGUCGAACGGAAAGGCCCUGCUUUUGUGGGGUGCUCGAGUGGGGAACGGGUGAGUAACACGUGAGUAACCUGCCCUUGACUUUGGGAUAACUUCAGGAAACUGGGGCUAAUACCGGAUAGGAGCUCCUGCUGCAUGGUGGGGGUUGGAAAGUUUCGGCGGUUGGGGAUGGACUCGCGGCUUAUCAGCUUGUUGGUGGGGUAGUGGCUUACCAAGGCUUUGACGGGUAGCCGGCCUGAGAGGGUGACCGGCCACAUUGGGACUGAGAUACGGCCCAGACUCCUACGGGAGGCAGCAGUGGGGAAUAUUGCACAAUGGGCGGAAGCCUGAUGCAGCAACGCCGCGCGCGGGAUGACGGCCUUCGGGUUGUAAACCGCUUUCGCCUGUGACGAAGCGUGAGUGACGGUAAUGGGUAAAGAAGCACCGGCUAACUACGUGCCAGCAGCCGCGGUGAUACGUAGGGUGCGAGCGUUGUCCGGAUUUAUUGGGCGUAAAGGGCUCGUAGGUGGUUGAUCGCGUCGGAAGUGUAAUCUUGGGGCUUAACCCUGAGCGUGCUUUCGAUACGGGUUGACUUGAGGAAGGUAGGGGAGAAUGGAAUUCCUGGUGGAGCGGUGGAAUGCGCAGAUAUCAGGAGGAACACCAGUGGCGAAGGCGGUUCUCUGGGCCUUUCCUGACGCUGAGGAGCGAAAGCGUGGGGAGCGAACAGGCUUAGAUACCCUGGUAGUCCACGCUGUAAACGGUGGGUACUAGGUGUGGGGUCCAUUCCACGGGUUCCGUGCCGUAGCUAACGCUUUAAGUACCCCGCCUGGGGAGUACGGCCGCAAGGCUAAAACUCAAAGGAAUUGACGGGGCCCCGCACAAGCGGCGGAGCAUGCGGAUUAAUUCGAUGCAACGCGUAGAACCUUACCUGGGUUUGACAUGGAUCGGGAGCGCUCAGAGAUGGGUGUGCCUCUUUUGGGGUCGGUUCACAGGUGGUGCAUGGCUGUCGUCAGCCCGUGUCGUGAGAUGUUGGGUUAAGUCCCGCAACGAGCGCAACCCUUGUUCACUGUUGCCAGCACGUUAUGGUGGGGACUCAGUGGAGACCGCCGGGGUCAACUCGGAGGAAGGUGGGGAUGACGUCAAGUCAUCAUGCCCCUUAUGUCCAGGGCUUCACGCAUGCUACAAUGGCUGGUACAGAGAGUGGCGAGCCUGUGAGGGUGAGCGAAUCUCGGAAAGCCGGUCUCAGUUCGGAUUGGGGUCUGCAACUCGACCUCAUGAAGUCGGAGUCGCUAGUAAUCGCAGAUCAGCAACGCUGUGGUGAAUACGUUCCCGGGGCU
rnacentral:rRNA from 1 species